rnacentral:rRNA from 1 species
GACGAACGCUGGCGGCGUGCCUAAUACAUGCCAGUAGAACGCUGAAGAGAGGAGCUUGCUCUUCUUGGAUGAGUUGCGAACGGGUGGGUAACGCGUAGGUAACCUGCCUUGUAGCGGGGGAUAACUAUUGGAAACGAUAGCUAAUACCGCAUAACAAUGGAUGACACAUGUCAUUUAUUUGAAAGGGGCAAUUGCUCCACUACAAGAUGGACCUGCGUUGUAUUAGCUAGUAGGUGAGGUAAUGGCUCACCUAGGCGACGAUACAUAGCCGACCUGAGAGGGUGAUCGGCCACACUGGGACUGAGACACGGCCCAGACUCCUACGGGAGGCAGCAGUAGGGAAUCUUCGGCAAUGGGGGCAACCCUGACCGAGCAACGCCGCGUGAGUGAAGAAGGUUUUCGGAUCGUAAAGCUCUGUUGUAAGUCAAGAACGGGUGUGAGAGUGGAAAGUUCACACUGUGACGGUAGCUUACCAGAAAGGGACGGCUAACUACGUG